GGGCACAUGGUGUAGUUGGUUAUCACAUCCGCUUAGCAUGCGGAAGGUGCUGGGUUCAAUUCCCAGUGUGUCCA
rnacentral:tRNA from 1 species